ACAUGGAGUGAUCUCGCUGUGUUUUUUUGCAAUCAUACCACUUAAAAAGAUCUGAUUAUGAUGAAUCCAGUCUAAGAGCAAAUUAACCAAACAUAGACCCACUGAAAAAAAUGCCAAGAAGAUAUAUAUAUAUAUAUAUAUAUAUAUUUUUUUUUUUUUAGUUUGGGGGUUUUGGGUGGGAUUUGGGGGGAGAGAAGGGAAGCUUCUCAGUCAAGAGCAAUUCCUUAAAACCAUGGGCAAAAUUCCCUUUUCUACUACUAGUUUUUUUUUUUUUUUUCUUUUUAAUGACAAAGUCACACAAGGGAGGAAAUGAAAAGGGAAAUUUUUAGACUUCUCAUCUGUUCAGAAAGCCCCAACUCUGUUUCAGAACCUGUCAGGGUAACUGUCAUGCCUGCGGUCCACGCUGCACUCCCAGGAGGCCUUGCGUCGGAGGCCAUUAUAUCAAUAAGGAAGUAUGAUCACCAAACCGCAAGCGAGCUUUUUUUUUCAAGCCCACAUGUUGCUCUACAGGGUUUUAAAACAAGAGACUUUCCUGUUUUUGAAACUUGUGAAUCCACAGGACUUCCAGGUUUCUCAAAUUAUCUUAUCCCUUGCAGCAAACACGGAUGUGAGUGGAUCUAA
rnacentral:lncRNA from 1 species